AGUAAGUAUUUAUCUAUACCAGUAUGUAUACCUAUUGUCGCCUAGUACCAGUAGUACCCAUAUUACAAGCUUUGCUUAGUUUGAGUAUUGAUCUAUUUGUGAAAGAUUGUCCCCUAAUAUUUAUUUUAUUAUUUAUUAUUCCCCGUCUAACCCUACUUAAGCAAACAUAUCAUGUUUACAAGUUUGGUUAAGCUAGCUCUGCUUCAAUUGUGCCCUUCAAGUGUGUUCUCGCCAGACGUCGAGUCAAUAAUAAUUUUCAUAAGUCGUCUAUCAUUGAAUUACUUAAAGGUCAAAACACUGGCGUUUGUUGAACCUUUCUCAAUGUAGGUAUUCGAUUAUUUCAAUGAAAAAUAAAGUUAUUUCAGUAGGGCGACGCUCCUCCUUUCGGGCAUUCACGGCUCUGUUCUGUUCAGCAUUCUUCCGAGCAAUUAUUAGAUUUAAUUUAAUUCUUUAUAACAAUUAAACUGGAGAUACCACCUAUCCCAGCAAGGGCUGACUUGGAAAAUCCCCAGAAAAAGAGGGCAAGGUCGCCCACGUACCACCUGGAGGCGCACAGUGGAAAAGCAGGCUGCAUCUCGGCUGGGCGGAAAUUGAGGAGGCCGUGCUGGACCGUGAAAAAUGGAAAUCCCUUCCGAGAGUCCUAUGUCCCUGAUGAGGGAUAAGAGGAUACCAUCAUCAUCAUCAUCACUCAUACAUCUCAAGAUUUAAAAUAAUAAAUAAAUAAAUAUUAUAGGA